AGAUAGAUAGACAGACAGAUGUGCUUGAGUUGCUCCUUUCUUGCAGCAUUAGCCCCGCCCACUCCACCGUCUGCGCUUUAAAUAGCAGCUGUUUAAAAGCUCAGGUCCACACCACAGUCUGCCGCAGCACCCACUCGACCCACUCACCCACGCCUUCUCACCAGCCAGUCCAGCCCGCCCGCCAUCUCCCGCCAUGUCGGCCGCCAGCACCGAGACGAGCGCGCCGCUGCCCACCGCCGGCAGCCGCGUCUUCUUCCAAGCCGCGCCCGGCGUGGGCUGCGUGGGUUCGACGCCGCUGAGCGGGCCGCCCGACGUCGACCCGGUGCAGAAGAAGCAGGGCAAAGUGACCGUCAAGUACGACCGCAAGGAGCUGCGGAAGAGGCUGGUUCUGGAGGAGUGGAUCAUCGAGCAGCUCAGCGACUUGUACGACUGUGAGGAGGAAGAGAUGCCGGAGGUGGAGAUAGACAUUGAUGAUCUAUUGGAGGUCAGCAGUGAUGACGAGAGAGCCAGCAAACUGCAGGAAUCAUUGAUAGACUGUUACAAGCCAACUGAGUUUGGACACCCCUCCUUUAGCGUAAUCCCCGCUAACUCACCACUGCGGGAGACGACGUGGUGGAGGAUGAUGCGGGAAAGCAGCUGGGGGGCCAAAGAUAGACUAGGAAAGGAGCGACAAAAAGAAAGAGGACAGUGACAGGGGGAGUUGAAGAAGACGUAGAGUACAGCAGAUGUGGUAAAUGACAUCAUGACCGCUGCCAUCAUGUCCUUCCACACCCCUUCUUAUGGUGGGCAUGCUGUAUCAUAAACACCCGGAGGAUGCAUUGUGGUCGUCUACAAGCUUCUAAUUCCGCCUUGCAUGAAGUCUGGAUUUUGUCCGUGAGUUGCUGGGCAGGAUAAGAGGAAUGAGGAAACUGAGCGCUCCGUCUAAGAAGGGUCUAUAAUGGCGGGAAAGCAGCGUCUCCCUGCUCCAGUCUGCAAGCAUCCAUCCUGCAUAGUAGACUACACCCGUACACAAAUACACACAAGGGCAGUACACAUUACUGGACUGUUAAAAAAACUAAACAAAAAAAAAAGAAGGUACGUAGCCUGAUCUGACAUUUCAGAGCCAUGUUUGCUCGUUUCCAGCCAUAGAGACUCCAAAUGUCAAGAAAAGGGAGGAGCUAAACACAUUUGUACUGCAUUCUGUUGUGACAUUAGCUGUAGCACUAUGGAAGCAAGCACAGUGCUUCACCUCACACUCUUCUGCUUCUUUUUUACUCAAGCGUGUUGCUGUUACUUGAUGCUUUGUUUUUCUUCACGUCCUGCUCCUUCUCCUCAUUAGCUGUAACUUAUCUGCUUGCAUAAAUUUAAAAGCAGUUUCAUUUUGUUUUUACACAUAACCCUGGAAAAAACAGACUCCUAGUGAAAUAAGUGAGCUAUGUGACCCACUGUUGUAGUGCACUUGUCACCACACGCAGCAAGGCAUGAUGGGUUUUGCAGUCGUCUGCAAGCCUGUAUGAUUGGCAGCCUUCCACUCACCGUACAGUGCACAUCCUUUAGCUGGUUGCUUGAUCAGGCUUGCCUUCUAAAAGGACAUUCAGGAUACGUGGGACUAUUCCUCAGCACUCAACCUUCCAACUCUACGGACAACCCCCACAGGCAGUUGGCAACAAGUCAGAACCUGUGGAUGACUUGAAAGGUGACACUUGAACGUGCCAAACGUGAUUAGAAAUGUCAAACACGGCCCAUGUAUGGCACAGCGCUCCCAAAGAGGAACUUCUUUGUUAUGUUGAUGAGGCGGGUUUAGUCACUUGUUGGAGAGCAACAACACUCGUUUGCAAUCAGGACACACUUGCCUUGAAGGUCCCCUAUUAUGCAAAAGAUGAUGCUCUAAUAGUAAUAUGUGUUCAUGGAGAAAAAGCUACUUUUAAGAGAAGAGGCCCUUGUAAAGCAAAAAAAAAAAACCCUGCCUUCCCAGGCUUUGCUACACGUCUUAAAAUAAGGCCACUACCCAUGUGUUGUUUUUUAUAUUACAGUCCGCCCUCGUUUACCGCGGGUAAUUGGUUCCACACCCGACUGUGAUCAGCAAAGUAGGAUUCAAUAUUAAUUAGGGCUAUCAAAUGAUUCAAAUUUUAAUGAAUUAAUUAGGGAUGAGUUUGUUUUAGAUGAGUAACCGUUAAAGAUAAUGCUUUUUUGCCGAGUACGAGCAUGAAACGAGUACAGCUCAUCCGUAAUCGUGAUGGAGGAAAAUCCUCAUCGGGGAGCUGCUUGCGUAUUCACUCUUCACGCUCUGUGAUAUGUACUACUGUGGUCACUAGGCGGCAGUAAUGACACAAAACAUUGAUGAGACAUUAGCUUACAUGACAUUACCUUAACACUGCAUGAAGUCAUGAAGUCAGCUAAGGCGUGUCGCACAUGAUAGAGUGAAAAAAAGUUCUCCCGUUCUGUGUGGGCGUUUUUGGCUUCUUAAGCUGAGAAGAAAUAAGUUUGAGGCUAACUGGUUAGCUUGCUAACCCUGCAGCAUAAAAGUUAGGCAAUGUAUUUGUAAAAGAUGAAUAACAGGAGUGUAAAGGUGACGAUAGACGUGUUAUUUCAUGUCUAGGGGGCUGUAGUAAUGUUGAAAACUGUAUUUAGAAAGUCAUAAACAGGUUGCCCAUGCUUUACCUGUACAAAUAUUCCAUUUAUUAACAUUGAAUCCUUUGUUGAGGAAAUUCAUUUAGCGCAGUCAAGUCUGGAACCAAUUAGCGCUAUAAACGCUGUAUGUGUAAAAAAGUGCACAUCUUGGAGGCAAACACAGCUGAUUAGCAUUAAAGCUACAGACACAGAAGACGCCGUGCUUACUACAAGUAAAAGCACUUUGAAAUGCUGGCAUCUCCAGCAACAGGGCGAGCACACAAUAACUUGAAAAUGGCAAAAACUAGCCUAAUAUGGGACCUUUCAGGAACAUUCAGCCAAUCAACAACCCUGUCAGCCAUGUGACCAAAUCCCCUCAGCUGGCAAAGACGCACACGCAAGCGGGUGAGUGGUUGAUUUAUUUUUUAUUUUUGUUUGCAAAGUACCCGUCUUGCAUGCGACCGUCAGUACGUCAACAUUGACAAAGAGUAUCGAUAUAGAACACUUAUAACCAAGCAAAAAAAACGUUAGCUUCUUAACUUUACAGACUUUUUAUUUCCAAACGACAUGACUUCAGGCAUCUGAGAGAAUCCAGGAACUCUUAAAAAAAAAACAACGGUGCUGUUUUUGAUGUCCUUCCCAGAUUGUGGUUGCGUAGAAAAAGCGUUUUCACUGUGUGGCGCCGGGCUACGUUGUCUACGAUGGCGUCCUUUUUCCUAUCAGAGGUCGCCAUCGCAGCCAACUGAGACGCAGCCGGGCUUUGGUGAGGAGGUACCUUUUAGGAUUUUCUCUUUCAAGAAACAGUUCAGGGGUAAUAGGUUGCUAUUUUCUAAUUUAUGGGAAGUAUUUUAUGGUAGGAUAAGCUUUGCAUGUAUUUUUAAAGUAGCACGUGGAAGACGGAAGGGGACAUUUGUUGGCCCAAAGCUUUUUAUUUCACAAACGCGUUCCUUUUUUUUAUACCUUUUUAUUAAGAAUGGUUUCCCCAGCUGCUGCUGUUUUUUCUGUACAUCCACAAUAAGCAAUCUUGUUUCUAAAAUGUAACAUGUAAGGUGUGUGUGUGUGUGUGUGUGGUCUGUUUUUGCUGAUAAUAAAAAUGCAGAAAAGCUGCGCCAUUUUAAAGGACGGAGUGGAGUAGAUUAGUCAGACAGGAGUUCAUCAGAGUGUGACUUCAUUGCUCAUUGUGCGCAUGAGUAACCCUUCUCUGCUGCGAGUCUGGCCCCAUAUGACUAGCCUACUGCCCUACUGUACGCUGUUGCUAGGCAGAAUACGCUCAGUGCCCUCUUGGGGGCCAUUGCAAGAGCAGGGGUGUGAAAGGAGGAGACUGGCAGCUUUGAACGCUGGGAAAAAUGGCUUCUGAUUUGGAAUUCCACUGCGGGAAGCACAUGCACAUGCACAUGCACGGAUGCUGCGUGUCGGGGGGGGGGGGCUGCCAGCACACAGCGACAAGCAAGAAGCUGAUUGUACGCCUUUAAAUUCCAUGACCCACUUUUCACAGCUGGGGCUGGCUGGCUGGCAGCAAACAGGCUCGUGCACGCUGCCUUGAAUAAUGGGGACUGCAAGGUGAAUGUGAGCGGAAUAGCCAAGGAUGGCCCCCUAGCUACCCACCCCCAGCCCCCUUCCACUGGCUUCACACCAGCACAUCACACACCACCAGCACACUCCUCAAGUCAUUCUCUGGGAAAUCACAAGUGAUGGGAAAUGGAAAAUAGGAUGCUUGACGUUAAAAUGGAAAGUGAUGGAAGUGUCACAUGAAGAUGCCGCACAUCAUCGCUCCCCCCAUGCCAUCCCCCCAUCCUCCAUUCUCUCCCACUUAUGUUUGUGCCGGGUGCAGUGAUGCAACGUAGCUUACAGGCUGGAAGAAGACAGACCGUCCUGCUGGCUGGCUGGUGGAGAGAAAGAUCAUCACCAUCAGCAUCUCCACUUUUCCUUUUAAGUGGAAGACGCAUCUCAUUUUGUCUCCUACACAUGCAGCGGAACCUGACCGCAGCGCCGAUUCAUUCACAUGACAAGCGAGAUCACAUUCCAUGGUGUCUAAUCCGUCUCCUAAUGAUGAUAACCGUAGAACCACAAAUGUAAUAAUGUCCCUUUAGCAUGGAAACCAAAGCGGCACACAGCACCCCGUCCAAACUAACGUAAGAGUACAGAGUAUCGCUGCUUUUUACACUUGUAAGCCAGUUGAAAUAGUUCAAUAUGGUACUCAUAAGGCAGUACGGCAGGGGUGUCCAAACGUUUUCCAGCAAAAGCCACAUCGUGAAAAAUGAAAGGAGGCCACUUUGAUAUUUACUAUCAAGAAAAAACUGCAUCUCAGCUUGGUGAUAUUGUUGAGAAAGCAAAUUGGUAGUAGGAAUUUCACUCAGCUUUCAUCAUAAUCUUGACAAUUUUCUUCCCGUAAUAUCGGAACUUUAUUUGCAUAAUAUUACAACAACUUUUGUUUUGUGUUACUUUGUUUCGUAACAUUACAACUUUCUAAAAAAAUCUUCACAAUUUCUACUGUGUGCUACUAAAAUCACAUUUUUUCUAAUAUUACAAAUGUAUUUAUUCUCAUAAAAUUGUGACUUUUUUCUCCUAAUAUUAUGACUUUAUUGCCUAUUAUAACCUUUUUUUGCCACUUCAUUUUCUUUAUUCAGUGUUUGGUUUGUUUCUCAUAUCAUUCUGACUUUAAAAUAUUCGCUAUUUUCCUUUAAUAUUUCAACUUUACGCUCCUGAAAUAAUGUCAUACUGUUGCAACAUUAUUCUCCUAAAAAUAGUUUUGUAAAAUUGCAGCUGAUUGUAUUUUGUUAACUUUCUUUUUAGAAUUAAAAAAAAAGGCUCCUGGGCCACACUUUGGACACCCACUGGUCUCCGGCAACUGUUUGACAUGGGAACGGAUCAUUUCCAUUUCCAUGCUCGCCAAUGCAAAUCAUCUACAAAUAUCUUAGAGGUCAACUUGGCUACCGAAACAAAUUGUAUUGAGGUUUCAAGCUCUAUUCACUCUUUAACUAAAUAUUUUUAUUCUGCUUUGCAACUACAAGCCACUUUCUCAACUUUAUAAAUACUACAUAAACUGUGUGUGUGUGUGGGUGUUUUAGAUCUUUGUAAUUUCACUAUUCAAUUCCAUUCGAGUCCAUUCAAUUUUCCAGAGCGCCAGCCAUAAUAAAUCUUUCUGUCAUGCAACAUUUCUACCAGUUUGGGUCAAGAUAUUCGACUAUUCCUGGGUUUUUCUAUUUUUUUCUAUUCCUGGCUCAUUCUUCAGCCAAAAUGUCCAAUAAAAGUGAAAGAAAUUGCAAUGGGAAAUGGUGGGUAUUUUCUCAAAUAUAAGGUGACACGUAAAUAUGAGAAGUAACCAAAGGAAGUAUGCUGGAAAAACAACCGCUAGCUCCUCUGUGGAUGACACUAACAGUAAUAUUGGGUUGUUUAUUCAAGAUUCAAGAUUCAAGAGAGUUUUAUUGUCAUGUGCAUGGUAAAACCGCCCACAUGCGCCGAGGGUCUGAGGUGGAAUAGUAGCCCUCCAGCUUCUGUCUGUACUGCCUUUUGGCCUCCCGUAUGGACCUCCUCAGGUCAUAUCUGGCCUUUUUGUAGUCAUCAGCGGUGCCCAUGACAAAUGCAGUCGAACGAGCACGUAGCUUAGCCCUUACAUCACAGUUCAUCCACUGUUUUUGGUUAGGGUAUUUUCUGUAAUACUUGGUGGUGGUAACAGUCUCUAUGCAUGUGCUAAUGUAGCCAGUAACAGCAGAAGCAUAUUCAUCCAAAUCAACAGUACAAUCUUCCCUCCCCGCUGCAGUUUUAAACACAUCCCAGUUUGUGCAGCCAAAGCAGUCCUGAAGUACUUGAUCAGUUUCUUCAUUCCACACUUUAACUGCUGUACGUACAGGGGGAGCUUUUUUAAGAAGUUGUCUGUAUGUAGGAUAAAGGAAUAUAGAGAUGUGGUCAGCCUUUCCAAAGUGGGGUCUUGGAACAGCCUUCAAAGCACCUUUCAUGUUGCUGUAGACUUGGUCCAGGAUGUUAUUUUCCCUUGUGGGAAAGCUCACAUGCUGGUAAUAUUUGGGGAGAACAGUCCUGAGGUUACAGUGGUUGAAAUCGCCAGAUAUAAUGAAUACAGCGUCUGGGUGUUUGGUCUCAUGUUUAUCAGUGAUGUCAUGCAGGAGGCCUAGUGCGUUAGCAGUGUUAGCUCGUGGUGGGAUGUAAACAGCAGUUAAAUACACAGCGCUAAACUCACGAGGUAAAUAAAAAGGUCUGCGUUUCACCAUCAGCAGCUCAAUGGCAGUUUAUGGCAUUAGGGCCCCAAAUAUAUAGGCUAGGGGGUGGAAACAUAGCCCAAAACUAGAGCAUCCUGCAUGCUGUUGUACCAAACACUGUAUAGACAACAGGACAUGAGCACCGCAGGGAUUAAUUACAGGGAUUUAGAAUGAAUAGCAGUAUUUGCUUGACUCACACUGCCAUAUGCCUACUGGCUUGUUUGUCUAUGAGCGCCAUGUUUUCCUUGUUUGUUUCUCUGCAUGAUUGAUUGAUGGCGAAAGGGGUGGGGAAUCUGUGUAUCUGUCUACAGAUUCUCCUUCAUGCCGUCUGUUUUAUAGUGAAAUAUGGAAACACAAGGAGAAAGCUAACUAUAUGCGUACAAUGAAUAGAUAUUGUUUGGCAUCCAUUCCCAAGGCCUUGUUGCUGAGGAGGCGGUCCUGUCUGCUGCCUAGGAGUAAUACAAGACAGUACGCGGUAAUACGAGGACAAGGUUUGUCCUUUUGAUGGUUUAUCCCGAGUCACCUCAGGUGACUCAGGAAAAGGGAGUAUUAAACAGCACACUCAAAAAGGAGCACACUCAAAUUGGACUUGUUGAAACGUAAUGUCCACACGUGACUUCCACUUUGCAUUGACAUCCAUCUUCAUACGUUCAUUUAUUGAUGAGCCACACAGCUUUGUGUCUGCACAGCGAGAGUCUCAAAAUCCAACUACCCCUGGGAACUAAUUAGAGAAUCUUUUAUCCUGAGCAUGACAACAAAUAAGAUGCGACCUUGAGACUCACCUUAGGCUUUUACCACCUGAUUUAACCAUCCCGGGUUUCAAUCACGGUUCCUACCCGUUUCACCUCAUCAGACACCACAAAGCCUUCCUCCCAUGAGGUGUUUGUUUGUUGCUGUAUACCGACAGGCCAAACAUCGCCUCCCUCACACCUCCUCCUCCGUGCAUGGAAUGGUCAAAACAACUGGUUGCCGUGGUUUCCCCAAAGCCAACCAGUGGCCGUUUUACCCCAUGGGUUCAUGCGGGGGUAAGCUUAGCCUACACAGUCCAGCACUGAUAUGAGAGGAGAUUAGCAUACAUUCAGCCUUGCUCAAUUAUCUUUGGCUUAACUUGAAAUAGCUGCUCUGUUUUAAUGAGGUCUCUCCAUGCAAGUGUACAAUAUAUGAGACAUGUGGCAUUGAUGGCAACGUACUCAACAUACACUACACUUCCUUCCACUUCAGUGUCACAAAUUGGAAUUGUGUACAUCAUUAAACUGUUCAUUAGCUCAUCCAAAGUCAUCUCAAGUUAUUUUAAUUGACUUGAACACAAAGGGUAGGAGUUCCCUCUAGCGGAUGAACGAAACAUACAUUUACAAGUCAAUGAUGUUAUCUUCAAAUUGAUAUUAUAGUCAAGUAUAUAAAAGAUCUGCAUGUAUCUUUUUAAGAGCUCAACUAUAGGUGUAUUAUACAAGGUUGCUUACGCUGUAGGUUGCAC